CCUGUACGAUAGGUUAUCAGUGAUGUUACCUGUACGAUCUGAGGUUAUCAGUGAUGUUACUUGUACGAUAGGUUAUCAGUGAUGUUACCUGUACGAUCUGAGGUUAUCAGUAAUGUUACCUGUACGAUCUGAUGAUACCAGUAAUGUUACCUGUACGAUCUGAGGUUAUCAAUGAUGUUACCUCUACGAUCUGGGGUUAUCAGUGAUGUUACCUGUACGAUCGGAGGUUAUCAGUAAUGUUACCUGGACGAACAAGGUGAUUGUGUGUAUACAUUGUUUACAGUUUAGUAGUAAUUUGUUAUUGUGUUACAUGUAUUACAUGAAUGUUCAAUAUUUAUAUAGUAGCAUUAGUUGGUAAUACACUUGUUUUGAAUAAAUUAUUUU